rnacentral:rRNA from 1 species
UAGGCUGAAACUCGCCUACAUGAAGCUGGAGUUACUAGUAAUCGCAGAUCAGAAUGCUGCGGUGAAUGCGUUCCCGGGUCUUGUACACACCGCCCGUCACACCACGGAAGUUGGGGGCGCCCGAAGCCACUUAGCUAACCCUUUGGGAAGCGAGUGUCGAAGGUGAAAUCAAUAACUGGGGUGAAGUCGUAACAAGGUAAC